AUGAGAACUUAUCUUCUUUGCCUUAGCAUUUUCAUUGUCUUCCAUUACACUAUAUCAAUUUACAAGCGUACCUUUGAUACCUUGAGAGGAGGUACAAAGAUUCUUAGAAGGCUAAGAAUUAUGAAGCUAUGGCCCUCAAAAAGGUACCUUAUGUAGGGCACUGUUCAUCUAUUUAUAGGGAAGACGAACUGCCUUUGUACAGAUUUACAAUAAUGCCCAUCAAGGUUUUACAUACGCUGUUUACAAAUGAUAUAAAGACAAUAACGUAUUUUCUCCGUUUUUGGCUUUGUGGGUCUCAGCCUUUGUUGUUCAGUUACUUCCUCUUUGGCUCGUGCCCGAAGUCAUUGCCUUUGGUCGUCGUCUUUUCUACUUGCACAUAGAUGAAGCGUCCUUGUUCACUGCUUUAGUCGAAAGUUAGCUUCGUAUGCAAGUGGAAACGUUCCUAAACACACUUAUUCAUACCGAAGCUAUAUGCUAGAUAGAUGAUUGUUUCAUCGUAAACAAGUGAUCUUCGGUAAUGGCUUUUAUUGUACUCUUGAAACACAAUUAUGUAAUACAGUUAAUCAGAGGACCUUCGGCAAUGUAGGCCCUAAUGAUUUUUCCGGAAGAUUCAUGUGUUUAGACAAAUAACAUAGGCUAAACAAAAUAAGUACUUAUUUUUGACAACAUAUUACACGAUAAAAUAAGGUUACUAAAGUGUAGACAAUAUUAAUAUGAAUCUAAUGCAAUUCGAACGGAUCAAAUCGGAGCUAAAAAGAAUUAGUUAUGAAUUUCUUAAGUUCUUAUAUUUAUUUUUGUACAUAAUAAUCAAUUUUCGGAUUUAAUUUAUAAUUAAACAAGAAUGCUGGAGUGCGGCCACUAUUUCUAUGAAAUUUGGGGUUGAAUUUGGAAGAACACGAACCUCGGUGUAAUGAUCUUGCAACAAUAGUGGACUGUGGGUUGAUAUACCUAUUUCUAAGAUCUCUUUAACAAAUGUUCCUUGACGAUAGGGGUACUAGUUUACAACAGUCGCCCGAUCUAGAAUCAAGUGCUCAGAUUAGAUCACUUAUACAUCAAAAAGGUAUUCCAAAUUGGCCUCCGGAUCUAGAUCCGAUGGUGAAGAUUUAAAUUUAAUGAGACGAAAGGGGAUCGCGUAGAUCUGAUCUACACCACUCCUUAUCCGAUCGACGACCCGAAUUCUAUGAUGUGAAGAGGUAUCUGACUCCUAAUCUGGUUCGUUCAUCCAAGCACCAACUCCUGGCAGCCAUCCCUAAGCUCCGCCCUCCCCCACCGGCAAUCCCCACGGUGGCGCCGCCCCAAACACAUCGGAAACACGCCGGGGCAACGCAAUUUGGCGGCCAGGCUCACCACUCCGACCAUCGAUCCCCGAAAACAAAUGCGGAGCAGGCGCGGAACUGAAUAUGUGAGGACUCACCGGAUAAUUGGGUGUCCAAAUAUAUGCCGACCACGGUCGACCGUGGUGCAGAGGCGUGGAAGUACUCCAGUGACGAAUUCACUGGACACCGAUGAUCCACGCGCCAAGGGCUUGCUCGUAGAUGAUCCUCGCGCCCCUGUGAACUCCAGUGAUCCCUUCUUGCACACUUGACGACGGCAGCACGAAGAACGGGUGUGAUGGUUUCAACCCCACCCGCCUGCGAUAAUGGCACAGGACGGACACACAGGAUGCCCAACAUAAUGGGCGAGACGAGCCUGGGUCCCAACUUUAUACACCGAUCCACCGACCCCAAUGAAGCUAGCUGGCGGAGUUGGAGUUUGUUACGAUCCUCAUGCGGGCGAUUCGAUCUCAACAGAUUGUUGCGGGGAAGACGAUCCUAGCGGCUUGGCCCCACCCGGCGGCGAGCAACCAAGAGGAUGCAUGGGGAAAAGGUGUGGCUGACAGCAGUGGCCCACAGGUCAGCCCCAAUUGGUGAAGGUGCGCGUGGAGUUGGGCCAACUGGC
rnacentral:lncRNA from 1 species